UGAAACCGCGUCGCUAGAUGUGGUGGAGUCGUCCUUGAAAUACCACCCUUGUAGUUUUGAUGUUCUAACGUUGGUCCCUGAAUCGGGAUUACGGACAGUGCCUGGUGGGUAGUUUGACUGGGGCGGUCUCCUCCCAAAGAGUAACGGAGGAGCACGAAGGUGGGCUAAACACGGUUGGACAUCGUGUGGUUAGUGCAAUGGCAUAAGCCCGCU
rnacentral:rRNA from 1 species